CAAAGGCACAAAAGGUAUCCGGUGACGAAAAGCAUAGACAUUCCGCAUCUUAAUGAUAUAACAGAGAUUAUUCCAUCAGAGAAAACAUGCGUCCAAUGCAGAGACAAGCUUACCAGAGUUGUUUUGGUGAAUAGACAUGGUAAAGCAGUAUUGAAAAACAAAGUCAUACAUGAUAUUUCAGUUUACAAUAAAGUGUGCUCUAAAUGCGGAAUGGAGUAUAGGUAUCAAGAAUGGAGUGACGGUCUUCACAAUUACGAUGAUUCAACAUUCAUUGGGUUUGAUGCUUGUCAUCUAAUUAGAGCUGGCUUACAGAAUCAUGUGGCAAUUAGUAGAACGAUAAACAUGCUGGCAGAUACACUAGACGAAAAUCUGAGGCUUCAUGACCUAACGAAUGCUUAUUUGAUGUUUGAAGCACUAACUGAGCAUUCAUAUUCUUUCUACUGCUAUCUGUGUGGCUUCUAUCCGACAACGAUUGUGAUGGACGGUAUACGAAAGACUUGUUUUCGACAUGCCGUUUCAGAUAUGGUUGCACCGGCAGAUUUUACAGAAUUACCCGAAACAGUUGAUAUGGAUUCAUUUUGGAAGAAAGUGGAACAAGAGUUGAUAAGUCCUGGAGUCAGACAUGGUAAACA